GGAGGGGGGGAGGGCGGGGUGCUCCUGAGGGAAAAGUGGAGGGAUUGCGUGCCACAUGAGUAACGGGAGUAGAGGGAACAGCCUCAGAUUGCACCAGGGGAGGUUCAGGUUGGGAAUGAGGAGACAUUUCUUCUCAGAAAGAGCAGUCAGGCAUUGGGACGGGUUGCCCAGGGAGGUGGUGGCCUCAGCGCCCCUGGGAGUGUUGAAGGAAAGGUUAGAGCUGGUGCUUGGGGACAUGGGUCAGUGGGUGACACUGGUGGUGGGGUGAUGGUUGGACCAGAUGGUCGGGGAGGGCUUUUCCAGCCUUAAUGGUUCUGUGAUGCUAUGUCAAAGAGCAGUGGAAGAGCACAGUCCCAGCGACGAACCAGAAGUGUAGUGAGAAAAGUACCAGAUAGUGACGACUAAAAGAUUUUUCUCAGUAAUGGCAAGGGACAAAUCAAUGUUAACAACAAUACGCAAAAAGUGUUUUACCUAUUUCAAGGUGCAGCGUGUGGAAAACGUGUCGCGGUCAUCCUGCUUAGUGGGCAAGUUUUGUAUAUGCACACUGCGCUUCUGCAGGCUUCUGAAAGUCACUGACCGCUAAAUACCGCGGCUUUUCUGCUGAGAUUGCAUCUUUUGGAUUUUCUGGAUUUAAGAGCAAUGCCAAAGGUUGGAUGGUAGCAAGCUGCAGUUUGCAUUUGUCACCCACCCCUCACUUGGAACCUCCAGUUAGAAGCUGAGUUGCACAAGAAGGGUGAGUGAGGUGCUGAACACCACUUUUUUAGGAAAUUAUUUUGCAAGUAUGAUUCUCAAAAAACUUUAUACCACUUCAAGAAAGGAAUUUUGUUUAACCAUAAAAGUGAAAGGCUUAUUAAUGACUGGAUAGGUGACUUUUGUGAGGGUGUACAUACUUCACAUUUGGUGAGAGUGUAAAAUCUUUACAUCAUGAAGAAGUAUUUACAUUUUCAAAUAAUUAAAAUGUAACAAGUAUAAUUAUCUAACUGUAGGGCCACUGAGUUGCUGCAGUUGCACAUGCCUCUGCAGGUAUAACUAAUUAAUCCGAGAGCCCCUCGGGCAGGUGUCCCUGAGAAGCAGCAGAACACUCCAUGCAUAGGGAGCAUUUGUAGUGCAGGGCAGAGGGAUGGAGUUGGGUGGGUUGCACCACCUCAGACACUAGGUGGGGACACAAAUAAGAACCUAGAGGAAAGAAAUGCUAUGUGUGGAUUAGGGAACCUUCCUGAGCCUUUCUUUAAAGUGAUUUUGAAAGGGUUCUCUCACAUCCAGCCUGCUUCCCAAAUUACUUGUAAUCGCAACGUUGCGUAAUGCGUGAGGUAGCUGCACAGUCCACCUCCAGAGCAUUUGCUAUUGCAAGUCUGAAACUUUUCAGAACACAUGGAUCCAAAUUUGAUGGAAAUCACAUCUAUUGCUCUUGGGGAAAUUUCAGCUAGUUUAGGAUAAAAUACACAAAACUUGAAUUUGGCAAUCAGUAUGGGAAACGAUGCAAGAGACUCGUUUACAUUUUAAGAGAUUGGUGAAUCACCACCCCCCUCUCAAAAAAAAAAAAAAGGCAAUAAAAAGCAGCAACAACAACAGACCAACAGUGCAGACUGACUUUGUACAGGAAAAUAUUUUUAUUAGUGAAUUAUUUUUAAUUGCACGGUCACUUGACACUAAUCAGUGGUUCAUUAACAGUUCAAAGUAUCAAUUUAAGCCAGGUUAAAAGGCAAAUAAUUUGACAAAACAUGGAGACAAGCUGUGGUGUACUUCCCAGUAUCUAUAAACCAAUACUGUAGGCUAUCAUAGCACACUUAAUGGUGCUAUUUCUGAGAGUAACUAAUUUGGAAACCCUAAGAAGGGCAAGGCUGUGCUGCAUACCUGUCUCUCUAACUAAUCUUACAGCUAGUGCAAAAAAAAGUUACAAGUUAGGUGUUAGAAAGAAGGAGAAUGUCAGUGUCCCCAUUUCAAGAUCCAUCUGAGGUCCUUUGUAAAUUGUGCAUGAUGUGCAAUAGUCCACUGUUUAGAAAUAGAUAUGUAUAUAUGUUGUUAGCUGUCAAGUGAUUUUAGGAAAAACGAAUGUAGCAGAUCAUUUAGUGUUGAAGCCAGUACAUACUGCAGCCAUCCUCUAGCAUUUCUUCUACCUCUGCUGCGCCUACGUCUGAGAAGCUUCACUGCUGCCAGCACAGUUUAUCAUCGCCAAUCCUUAGUCUAACUUAGAUUCGCAGUUAACUGGGGCAUGGGAUCUGAAUUAAGAAUAAACUUCAGUGUUAAGAAUUAUACAGAGCAGCACAGUUUAUUUUUAUACCUUUUACCAGUUUUAAAAGCAAACAACUGUCAGCAACAUACAGGUUUUCCUAUAGAGCUCUUUGGUUUACAGCACUAGUCUUAUCUGACAUUAAAAUUUCUCUUCAGAAGUGCAGAAACAGUUCAUUACAGUUGCAUGCAUCCCAUAUUAUGACUAGGCUCGUCUGCUUUAACAGUAAGACUGAAAAAUAAAAUUAAAAAAGCAGCAAAUGGUGCAGUCUUUGUGCCCUGUACUAAUUUUUAAUGCUUCUUAAUCAUCUCUUAAGCAAGACCCGCUUUCAACCUGACAAAUUUUAACAACCUGCUAACAUUGCAAAGUAGUCAAACAGUUACAAGCAAGAUAAAAAAUAAACCUUGCUAACAAGGGGCUGCCAGACAGUCAGGUCCCAACUCCAGCCCUGCAAGCCUAAACACAGAAGGCAGACACUGAACCAAAGGGAGGCUCGUACGUGUUAUGAUAACAAUGUAACUGCAUCGUUUUCAAGGCAUCCAAGAGACAACUUCAUUUACACCGGACCUCACAUCUAAAAUUUUCAGAUGUGAAUAGUGACUUUGCUCUUCUGUUCCAUAAUAAGAUAGCUUAAAGAGACUUAAGGUUCAGGUUUUGGAAAUUGGACCCUUUUAAGGGUUCUCGACUAUACACGAGAAUUAAGACUUCCAAAAUGAAGUCACAUUAACAUUGUGCACUGUUUAGUUUUUAUGCUUAUUGACAUCACUAGCCAAAAAUACCCAAACCCAAAACACUCUAAACGUGAGCAGGAUCAAGACUUCAAAUAGAGAUGGCACAUCAGUGACGUCGUAAGAGACGGCACAAGACCGAGCUGUAGAAACACUGAAGGGAUUGAAAUAAAUCCUUUCCGAGCUACAAUAAUAUUUCAUGACCCUUAACAUAAAAGUGGUUUGAUCAAUUUUUCACUAAAACUUCAUAUGUGUUCCUUGCCUCAGGGCUAAAUACAAGAAAUUGCAGCCCACACCAUUUUUUUUUUUCAGGGAAAAAGAAUGUCAUGGAGCUAAAUUAGAUCUUCAUAGGAGUUAGUUGCCAUCUUGACUCCCUUUGAGACAUCCAAAUGAGCUACUACAGGAUCAACUCAAAACAACUUGUCGAAUGUGCAGUUUUAAGGCACAAAUGAGCGUGAAAACAUGAGAACGUAACUUUAUUCUACCUCCAGAGGGAAAUGGUUUGCAUUACUGGCUAGGAAAAGGACACAGAGCUGCUUGAAUAAUACAGGACAACAAAACUCGUCUUGCUGUGAAAGGCAUGCUGCGUAUCAAAGUGCCUUAUUCGAUACUAAAUGAUUAUUCUCAUGCUUCAACAGAACUAAACUCCCAUCUCUGUACCACCGUCCUCAUCUGGACCUUGAAACAUAAGGGAUGGGCUUCUGUCUGCCCGGGCCCAGUGAGAUUAGGGGCAGUCACAGGUGGGAACACCCCAGUUCUGUCGUCUUCAGUAGCCAGUACGCAACAAUGCUCAAGUCCUUUCUUUGUAGAUGAUGUUCCACUACUUUUCCUUUUACAGUCAUCUUCUGCACACGUGAGUGAAAGAAAAGGCUUUCAGAUUAAAAUUGGUUGGAUCUGCUCAGGGAGGAGUCUUGGGUAAGGUGCAAGAGCAGCUUACUGACAUUUUACUUUAUACCACUCCAGACUUAACGAAACAUGAGGGCAGAGUUUGGCAGCUCUGCAGGGCUGUGAGUAGAUCUUCCCGAGUCCAACCUCAUGCCCAUGGAUUUUUCAGUGUGCUCAAAGGGUGGGGCUUGCUUGUUUUCUUGACUUUAAGCAAUCAUUUUCAGCGCACUAUCAUAAAUAACAUUGAGCCUGUCCACAGUUCAGGGAUGCAUUUUAUAGUAACAUUACUGCAUUAAUAAAAACUUCAGUAGUAGCCUUAUCAGUUGGGGGGUUAGGUAAUAGCCAGAUUUGCUUGUGUUUUCUGGUUAUCCUUCCAGUGCUUUUUCCUCACCUUUAACAGUUAAGACAUGCUCACAGCCAAAUAAAAUGCCUUAAGUCACUGCAAUAUAGUUUGGGUCCCCGUUUAAUUCUGUUCGCCGUUACUUACUUUUAAAAUAGUUUCAAUGUGGAAUGAAAGGAAGCUCAAAUAUGCUAGUUCUGGAUUAGCUGAGAACACUUGAGAAAUCUAAUUUUGCAUGCAGUGUCUAUUUCAAGCCAUAAAGCACAGUCAUUUGCUUUGUAGAAAGUGAUCCAAACCUACGGAAUAAAUCUAGUUUCAGGGUUUUUGUGCAGUCCCUAGACUUUGGUGUUUUAGGGAACCAAAAGGAGCAGAAGUGUAAAAGCCAGGAAAGUGUGGCUGGUCCUGGUUCAACAAGUUUGAGAGCCGAUGGCUGAUGAACCCUGGCCAGUUACUAGACACAGUAUGAAAUGGCACAACAGCUGGAGUGAACAAAAGACCGUAAAGCGGAAGUAUUUUAGUUUGUGCCCAUUUUAGACAUCAGAGGCCUUUAACACCCCUGAAGUCCUAUUAAUUAUAAUCGGUGAGGCACAUGUUAGCAUAUCCAGAUCAAAAACCUUAACAGCCCCUACUUAACAGGAAGGAAAGCAUGCCCAGAAAGAGGAAACUGUCUGUAGUAAGAGUAGGUAAGAGUCGUAUUCAGGAUUAGAAUAUAACUGACUUACUAAACGCUUUUUCUUUUUUCUUCUGGAGUAACUUCACUCAAAUUUACAACAUAGUUGUUAAGAAAUAUUGCCUGUGACUUGUUCCUAAUCCGCCCGUUCCUCUCCUCCUUUUGUUUGGCUCGCUUACGUUUUCCAUGCUUACCUCUCUCGUCUUUGUUUUCUUCUCUUUGGUCAUUACGGGGAAAGUUUAUUAAACGAAGCAAGUCAUGCAGCAUCCUUUGGAAAUAUUUAGAUUUGGUGUUAUAUUUAGCUCUGUUCUUAGGUCGUUCAGAAUAGAUGAAAACUCUCCGUUAUUCAUUCUUCUUCUACAUCUAUGGAACAACGUCCUGGAAAUGUUUAGCCACAGGAAGCAGCUGCCUUUCUGGGUUUAAACGCCUGUCAUUACAGACAUUUGAUUUGUUAACUACUUUUACAGGAUUAAAACAGUAAUCUUGAGCUAGUGCUGGAAUAUUGACAAGCAGCAGUGAUGGAGCCUGGGCAAUGGUUGUGUUAUCACCUCUGUGCUGUUGACAGGAGCAGAAUAUUUUAAUUUGCAUAACCUGGGGGUGAUAGAGGCACUGGUUUGGGGUGCAGUAAGCUACAGCAAUCCCACCUCAGGAGGAAGAAAUACAUCCUGUCAGGCAUGACUCUUCAUUCUAGUAGUAGCAAAUGAACUUGAACGCCAAGAAACAGCCAUCCUUUUAGCAAAAUCGACUGAGCAAAGUGAAUCUGCUUAUCUGUUGAUAAGUAGAUCUGUGUUUUGGCUAGGGGCUUGAAGUUGAACAUUUUCCCUCUACUUCAAGAGAGCAUCCAAGCGUAAGUGUACCUUCAGUCAUGUAAAUACUUGUCACUAUGGCAUUUUGCAGGAUCAAGUCCCAUAUGCCUCCUUCAUUAGGCUGCAUCCAUCCCAGAUGGAUCAGUUUUCUUCUGCAUAUUUUGAUUAAUCACAUGAAUGAUCUGAACAUGCAUAGGACUGUUACUACCACUUCACAUGUUUACAUUUGGUUGUUGAGUGGUAGAAAUUUCAAUACAAGAUGAAAAUUAAUGCCUCUAAUUUCUUUCCCUCUGUAAAAUAUAUUUUAAAAUAUAACAUUUACCUCAAGUUUCCACUUACGGAAGUUACAAAUACAUGUUUUACAAAACUACAGCUGUAAAGGAAGGGAACACGUUAUUACUUGCUAAGAAUAAAAAAAUAAAAAAACAGGAACAGCACCUCGUGGUCUCUGAUCAAUUUCUUCCUAGUUUUACUUAUAUAGGGAAAUAUUUAAAAAAUGGAGGCUGGCAUAAAUAAAUGCUUCAAGAAGAGGAACAGAGAUAGCAAUUCUUUGAGAAAAUCUAGUAUUUUUGUUAAUAACAAGUUAUUUUCUCACGUUAAAGGGAUCCAAACCAUCGAUGUGUUCCUCAAGGUUUCAGAAGAAUCCUAGAAGUUUAAACAAGUGCACUGAAAAAGUUUGUUUGUAAACAUUUAUUUUCUUGAACUGAAAAAGGCUUGCAUCAGCACACAUUGUACAGCCUUGCAAAUUACACAAAUUGAAAAAAAUGUUUGUUUCAUUUUUAUGUGCAAUUAAUCUUUAAUGUCCAGUGAGCAUCUGCAAAUGAUGAAAACUUAAACCAUUAAAAAGGUUUCCAGCACUUAUCAAAUACAAUUAUCUUAGCGUGAAAAGGAAGAGAAAGAUUCAUACUGGUGGGAACACAAUUAAAGUGCAAACAUUUUGUCACUUGUGAAGAUACAUUUUAGUUUCUUCACCUUUUUGUUAAAAAGAAAUAUUAAAAUGUGAUUCAGUGAACAUUCUUUGUAAUCUAUUCAUAUUCCCCCUUAAAUACUUAUUAAACUUGUUGGAUCAGAAGCAAAUCCUUCAAGGGUACAAACAAUUUGUAAUUUCUUUUGACAUUGUUUGAAUGAAUCUCAAAAGAAAACAACCAUCUAAGGAGUUAGCUAGUUACUAAAAUUAUAUUUUUUUCUUUAAAAAACAAAAAAAAGAAAAACGCAAGGGAAAAGGAACAGGUUAAUUUGAAGAUUUGGGGUACUUCGCUAGAAAAUGAGUGUAAUUCCUUGGACAUGGUUCUCUUUUCCCCUCCACCAAUCCUCAGGCUCCUGCUUUGGAACGGACAACUGCGUGCUGGCUGUGAAAAGGGAUUAUAAAAUACAAAUCUGAAUGUGGGAUUUUAUGAAUGUCUGCUGUACAAUAGAACUUUGGAUCUGAUACAAGAAUUCAAAAAUAUAAAACAAAACUAUUAUAAAAGUAGGGGGCAUUUCAGCGGCAUUCCUUAUAGAAAGCUGCCUGUCUCAAAGGUGAUUCCUUGCUAUUGUCUGGGAUCAACUCUAUUUUUUUCUUCAUCUCGCUGGAUCACUGGGUUAUUCUUCAAUGGUUACUGUCACACGACAAAACAUCCCAGGAGUCUCUCUAAAUAGAGCAGAAACCCCGUAACAUCAAGCCAAUCGAGGAGA